UUUCCGUAGGUGAACCUGCGGAAGGAUCAUUAAAAAUGAAGCCGGGAAAUCGGUCCUUCUCACCCUUGAUUAUCUCAAAUUGUUGCUUUGGUGGGCCGCGCAAGCACCGGCUUCGGCUGGAUCGUGCCCGCCAGAGGACCACAACUCUGUAUUAUAUGUCGUCUGAGUACUAUAAAAUAGUUAAAACUUUCAACAACGGAUCUCUUGGUUCUG
rnacentral:misc_RNA from 1 species